AUCACUCCGAUAUUGGUAGAUUUGGAGAACUGCAAGGGAAAAUAAGAAUCGUCUGUUUUGUCUUCACAAAAAUAACGAUUAAUUCUUCCAUCACCAAAACCAGAGAAACACAAACCAGAUCUCCAUCAGCUUCAUCUUCCCCCACACAAACCACCACCGACAACUCCAUCGCCACGAAAAACACCACCACCAUUUCCUUCUUCUCUUCUUCUUCUUCAUCUUCUUCUUCUUCCAAUUGUUGUUGUUCGCCCGAUUUUUCCCCAUCAAUUUUGUGCCCUAAUCUAAUCAUAACAGCAACUCUUCUCAACUCUCCCUGGGAUCUCUUCUUUCUUCAUCUUCAUCUUCAUCUUCAUAGAUAGAUUUCCCACUAUAUUUCAAUUAUUCUAUACUCAAUUUCGAAUUUAGAGUACAGGUUUUUGAUUUGAUCGAUUCAAUCAACAUAUAACCUGUAACCCUAUAUUGGAAAUUGGGUUAAUUGAUUCAUUUGACUUGAUUGAAUUUCUUUUGAGUGAGUUGGGUUGACUGAUUUACAGAGAAAUCAACCCCUUCGUUGAUGUAAUUGAUUGAAUUACUUUUUUGAGUUGUGAGGAAAUUAUGGUUUGUGCAAACUUUAGAUUGAUCGAAGAACAAUUUGAGGUAAGAUUAAUGGCGCAUAUGAUAUGAAAAAUUUGAGAUGCAAGAUUCAUUUCCAGGUAAGAUUUCCAGUUUCCAACCACGUAGAAGUCCAAGAUUUAUUGAAAGAGAUGCUCACUUACAGCGGCGCCAUGUUACAUAUGAAGUAGGUUUUAUCGAUGACCGAAGUCGAAAAACAAACGCUUCUUGAGAAAUGUCGUAAUGCCUUUCGCUAUAGGUUUUAUCUUUUCUUAAUUAGUAGUAGGUUUUACCUUUUCCUGAUGAGUGAAUCUUUGGAUAUUUUGAUGUAAUGUUAGGCUUUUGAACAACGGGUUAUGUAAAGAAAUUGAUCAUGAUGGGUUGAAGCUAAAUGUGUAAGAACUUCUAGGAAUUAAUUUUGUGUUCGUGUUUUGGUUUGUCUCAAAUAGGUAGUAAAGAACAUAGAUUCGCCAGUUGAUUUUCCUUGUACAGACAAUGGUUUUCACCGGUUUGAAGAGUCUGUAUCCAACUUAUUCUAGCUUAAUACCAGGUAAACAAAAGAUUUUGGCUGUAGUUAGGUUAGAUUGGCUGUCUGAAAUUCAAUGUAUUGAUGAACGCUACAUUUUGAUAUGGAUUUUAAUUCUAAAACAGAUGGUUUUGGUACUACAUUUUGAUAUGGAUUUCAAUGUAUCAUCAGAUUUGUUUUUUUAUGGAAGUCCAUGGUUUGUGACGCAUAUAUAUGAUCCUACUAUUGCUGCACUUACUAAGUACUGCUAAAAGGUUUUCCCUCUUAGCAGCACCCUGGAAUAAGUCUAGAUCUACUUGAUUUAUGCAGCAGCUGGGUUAGAAAAUUUUGUUUUUUUGUUUUCUUCUUGCUCUAUUAUUUUUCCAGGCUACUUGAGUAAUCUAACUGAUGACUUUUUCUGUGUUUGCAGGUGAACCAUUUUCCAGCGGGAUAUGAGCAAGAAUAAGUUGUUGGCAUGAGUAUGAACACGAAGAAGAGCUGAAAAUAAUUCACUGUAAAUGUGCUUAUGCGUGAUAACAAAUAAGAGACUUUACUUGCUUUCCGGAGGAACAUCAAUGGACAUGAGACCUCAAAUUUGGUCUAUCCGGAAGUCCUCUUAUAGGUACAACAGUAUUGGAGAAACGUAUGAACUGUUGCCGAGAAUCCGAAAUUGCAAGCAAGAGAAUUCGGCCAAAUUCAAGUUUGGUUCAAAUCUAUAACACCAAACAGAUUGGAUCUAUACACAUUCUAUUAUAUAUUGCCAUGUUAUUAUGAACAACACUGUUUACUUCAUAAUUUUAGUAUUAAAUGUAAUUGCCGUAAUUGCUGAUACCAA